rnacentral:rRNA from 1 species
CCUACGGGCGGCUGCAGUGAGGAAUAUUGGUCAAUGGGCGAGAGCCUGAACCAGCCAAGUCGCGUGAGGGAGUACUGCCCUAUGGGUUGUAAACCUCUUUUGUCGGGGAGCAAAAGCCGGACGUGUCCGGCUGUUAGAGUACCCGAAGAAAAAGCAUCGGCUAACCCCGUGCCAGCAGCCGCGGUAAUACGGAGGAUGCGAGCGUUAGCCGGAUUUAUUGGGUUUAAAGGGUGCGCAGGCGGAUUGUUAAGUCAGCGGUCAAAUCGUGGGGCUCAACCCCAUCCAGCCGUUGAAACUGGGGAUCUAGAGUGUGCGAGAGGUAUGCGGAAUGCGUGGUGUAGCGGUGAAAUGCAUAGAUAUCACGCAGAACCCCGAUUGCGAAGGCAGCAUACCGGUGCACAACUGACGCUCAGGCACGAAAGCGUGGGUAUCGAACAGGAUUAGAUACCCUAGUAGUC